rnacentral:rRNA from 1 species
UACGGAGGGUGCAAGCGUUAAUCGGAAUUACUGGGCGUAAAGCGCACGCAGGCGGUCUGUCAAGUCGGAUGUGAAAUCCCCGGGCUCAACCUGGGAACUGCAUUCGAAACUGGCAGGCUUGAGUCUCGUAGAGGGGGGUAGAAUUCCAGGUGUAGCGGUGAAAUGCGUAGAGAUCUGGAGGAAUACCGGUGGCGAAGGCGGCCCCCUGGACGAAGACUGACGCUCAGGUGCGAAAGCGUGGGGAGCAAACAGGAUUAGAUACCCCCGUAGUCC